GAUGAACGCUGGCGGCGUGCCUAAUACAUGCAAGUCGAGCGAACAGAUAAGGAGCUUGCUCCUUUGACGUUAGCGGCGGACGGGUGAGUAACACGUGGAUAACCUACCUAUAAGACUGGGAUAACUUCGGGAAACCGGAGCUAAUACCGGAUAACAUAUUGAACCGCAUGGUUCAAUAGUGAAAGGCGGCUUUGCUGUCACUUAUAGAUGGAUCCGCGCCGUAUUAGCUAGUUGGUAAGGUAACGGCUUACCAAGGCAACGAUACGUAGCCGACCUGAGAGGGUGAUCGGCCACACUGGAACUGAGACACGGUCCAGACUCCUACGGGAGGCAGCAGUAGGGAAUCUUCCGCAAUGGGCGAAAGCCUGACGGAGCAACGCCGCGUGAGUGAUGAAGGUCUUCGGAUCGUAAAACUCUGUUAUCAGGGAAGAACAAAUGUGUAAGUAACUGUGCACAUCUUGACGGUACCUGAUCAGAAAGCCACGGCUAACUACGUGCCAGCAGCCGCGGUAACACGUAGGUGGCAAGCGUUAUCCGGAAUUAUUGGGCGUAAAGCGCGCGUAGGCGGUUUUUUAGUCUGAUGUGAAAGCCCACGGCUCAACCGUGGAGGGUCAUUGGAAACUGGAAAACUUGAGUGCAGAAGAGGAAAGUGGAAUUCCAUGUGUAGCGGUGAAAUGCGCAGAGAUAUGGAGGAACACCAGUGGCGAAGGCGACUUUCUGGUCUGUAACUGACGCUGAUGUGCGAAAGCGUGGGGAUCAAACAGGAUUAGAUACCCUGGUAGUCCACGCCGUAAACGAUGAGUGCUAAGUGUUAGGGGGUUUCCGCCCCUUAGUGCUGCAGCUAACGCAUUAAGCACUCCGCCUGGGGAGUACGACCGCAAGGUUGAAACUCAAAGGAAUUGACGGGGACCCGCACAAGCGGUGGAGCAUGUGGUUUAAUUCGAAGCAACGCGAAGAACCUUACCAAAUCUUGACAUCCUUUGACCGCUCUAGAGAUAGAGUCUUCCCCUUCGGGGGACAAAGUGACAGGUGGUGCAUGGUUGUCGUCAGCUCGUGUCGUGAGAUGUUGGGUUAAGUCCCGCAACGAGCGCAACCCUUAAGCUUAGUUGCCAUCAUUAAGUUGGGCACUCUAAGUUGACUGCCGGUGACAAACCGGAGGAAGGUGGGGAUGACGUCAAAUCAUCAUGCCCCUUAUGAUUUGGGCUACACACGUGCUACAAUGGACAAUACAAAGGGCAGCUAAACCGCGAGGUCAAGCAAAUCCCAUAAAGUUGUUCUCAGUUCGGAUUGUAGUCUGCAACUCGACUACAUGAAGCUGGAAUCGCUAGUAAUCGUAGAUCAGCAUGCUACGGUGAAUACGUUCCCGGGUCU
rnacentral:rRNA from 1 species